GGCAGCUUAAACAUGCAAGUCGUGGGCAGCAAGACGGAGCAAUACCGUUGCUGGCGACCGGCAAACGGGUGCGUAACACGUACGCCAAUCUUCCCUUCAGGCGGGGGAUAGCCCGGGGAAACCCGGAUUAAUACCCCAUAAUAUUUUGAGAUGGCAUCAUCUUAUUAUUAAAGCUUCGGCACCCUGAUGAUGAGCGUGCGGCUGAUUAGGUAGUUGGCGGGGUAACGGCUUUACCCAGGCCCAGCGAUCUAGUAGCUGGAUGUGAGAGCAUGAUCAGCUUACACGGGCACUGAGACACGGGCCCGACUCUCUACGGGAGGCAGCUAGUAAGGAAUAUUGGUCUAAUGGACGAAAGUCUUGAACUUAGCCUAUGCUCGCGUGGAGGAUGAAGGUCUCUCUGGAUUGUAAACUUCUUUUAUUUGGGACGAAAAAGGGAAAUUCUUUUCCCACUUGACGGUGACCCAGA
rnacentral:rRNA from 1 species